AGAUUGAAAACAGACAGUGUUUGUCUCUCAAGUUAAACCAACAAGCCGAUAGAAAAAGGUAGUUAUCAAGAGAUUUUUAAAACUUCAACCCUUUUUCUCUUAUAGUUAGUGAAGAGAGUAGAAUAUCUCCAGUUUUGGCUGACAUCUCUACAACCUGAACAAUUGGCUUAAACUUCACUUGGGAUUCCCGGUUGCUUGUUUUAGCAUGGCAAAAUUUGGCGUUCACAGAAUCCUUCUUCUGGCUAUUUCUCUGACAAAGUGUCUGGAGAGUACAAAACUGCUGGCAGACCUUAAAAAAUGUGGUGACUUGGAAUGUGAAGCUUUAAUAAACAGAGUCUCAGCCAUGAGAGAUUAUAGAGGACCUGACUGCCGAUACCUGAACUUCACUAAGGGAGAAGAGAUAUCUGUUUAUGUUAAACUUGCAGGAGAAAGGGAAGAUUUGUGGGCAGGAAGUGGCCUGGCUCUGUCGCCCAGGCUGGAAUGCAGUGGUGUGAUCACAGCUCACUACAACUUCCAGCUUCCAACUCCUGAGCUCAAGCCAUCCUCCCACCUCAGCCUCCUGAGUAGCUGGGACUACAG
rnacentral:lncRNA from 10 species